AGUUUGAUCAUGGCUCAGGAUGAACGCUGGCGGCGUGCCUAAGGUAUGCAAGUCGAGCGAUUUAUUUUUCUAUUGAUCAGAGUAGCAAUACUUUGUGAUUUAGAUUUUUAAAUAGCGGCAGACGGCUGAGUAAUGUAUAGAUACUUACCCAUAAGAUGUGGAACAGCUCACCGAAAGGUGGGGUAAUGCACAAUGUGAUCUACGGAUUAAAGACGAAAGUCACUUACGGAGAGGUCUAUAUCCUAUCAGGUUGUUGGUGAGGUAAUGGGCUCACCAAGCCUACGACGGGUAACUGGGUCUGAGAGGAUGACCAGUCAGACCGGGACUGAGAAACGGCCCGGACUCCUACGGGAGGCAGCAAUCAGGAAUCUUGGACAAUGGACGAAAGUCUGAUCCAGCGACGCCGCGUGGAGGAUGAAGGUCUUCGGAUUGUAAACUCCUUUUAUCAGAGAACAAAGUAUGAGUAUCUGAUGAAUAAGCGACUCCUAACUUCGUG
rnacentral:rRNA from 1 species